rnacentral:rRNA from 1 species
GUGAGGAAUUUUCCGCAAUGGGCGAAAGCCUGACGGAGCAAUGCCGCGUGAAGGAUGAAGGCCUAUGGGUUGUAAACUUCUUUUCUCAGAAAAGAAUUAUGACGGUAUCUGAGGAAUAAGCAUCGGCUAACUCUGUGCCAGCAGCCGCGGUAAGACAGAGGAUGCAAGCGUUAUCCGGAAUGAUUGGGCGUAAAGCGUCUGUAGGUUGUUUAAAAAGUAUUCUGUCAAAGAUUAGGGCUUAACCCUAGAUAGGCAGAAUAAACUUUUAAGCUAGAGCUUGGUAGAGGCAGAGGGAAUUCCCGGUGGAGCGGUGAAAUGCGUAGAUAUCGGGAGGAACACCAAAGGCGAAGGCACUCUGCUGGGCCAAUACUAACACUGAGAGACGAAAGCGAGGGGAGCAAAUGGGAUUAGAUACCCGGGUAGUCC